UGGGGAAUAUUGGACAAUGGGCGCAAGCCUGAUCCAGCCAUGCCGCGUGAGUGAUGAAGGCCCUAGGGUUGUAAAGCUCUUUCAACGGUGAAGAUAAUGACGGUAACCGUAGAAGAAGCCCCGGCUAACUUCGUGCCAGCAGCCGCGGUAAUACGAAGGGGGCUAGCGUUGUUCGGAUUUACUGGGCGUAAAGCGCACGUAGGCGGAUCGUUAAGUGAGGGGUGAAAUCCCAGGGCUCAACCCUGGAACUGCCUUUCAUACUGGCGAUCUGGAGUUCGAGAGAGGUGAGUGGAAUUCCGAGUGUAGAGGUGAAAUUCGUAGAUAUUUGGAGGAACACCAGUGGCGAAGGCGGCUCACUGGCUCGAUACUGACGCUGAGGUGCGAAAGUGUGGGGAGCAAACAGGAUUAGAUACCCUGGUAGUCCACACCGUAAACGAUGAAUGCCAGUCGUCGGGUAGCAUGCUAUUCGGUGACACACCUAACGGAUUAAGCAUUCCGCCUGGGGAGUACGGUCGC
rnacentral:rRNA from 1 species